GGGCCUAUAGCUCAGAUGGUUAGAGCGCGCGCCUGAUAAGCGCGAGGU
rnacentral:tRNA from 1 species